rnacentral:rRNA from 1 species
GACGAACGCUGGCGGCGUGCCUAAUACAUGCAAGUAGGACGCAGUUGCGAACGGGGGAGUAACGCGUAGGUAACUACCUAUUAGAGGGGGAUAACUGUUGGAAACGAUAGCUAAUACCGCAUCCUAGUAGAUGUACCUGCGUUGCAGUAGCUAGUAGGUAGGGUAAAGGCCUACCUAGGCAACGAUACAUAGACGACCUGGGAGGGUGAUCGGCCACACUGGGACUGGGACACGGCCCAGACUACUACGGGAGGCAGCAGUAGGGAAUCGUCGGAAAUGGGGGGAACCCUGACCGAGCAACGCCGCGUGAGUGAAGAAGGUUUUCGGAUCGUAAAGCUCUGUUGUUAAGGAAGCGGUACUUAACCAGAAAGGGACGGCUAACUACGUGCCAGCCGCCGCGGUAAUUC